UGUCUUCAAAGGCCCAUUGUUAAUUGUGUUGCUCUCCACUGGUUCUGCUCACCCACGGAGGGUGAUGCCCAAACGUGGAGACAAGCCUUCAGCAGCAGUCUUGCCACUGCUGAGUAGAGCGGAAGGAUUGCUUCACGCUCUUGCAGGCAAUAUUCCUGCUUAUGCAGAAUUUUCCUCUACAAGUGAUUUUUCACAAAAACAUGACACUGUUGACUCAUGUUCCAGCUUGUGAUAUGAUACCCUGUGGAUCCUUUCCUGUAAAACAGCUACCUCUCCAAUUUGUGAAGAUCAUUCUGCAUUAUAAUCCUAUCCUCCAAAAUGCUUGAAGCCCCUCCCAGCCUGGUGCCUGCCAGUGCUCACGGCAAACAAUAACCCCAGGAGACUUUUGAACACAGCUCUUAAAUGUUGACUUUUUUUCCUGAGCUGCAUUACCUAUGAGAUCCUCCUUUGGGAUAAACUGCUGUUGCUUCAUUAACCACAGCAGACUUGCGACAUUUUAUACCAGCUGAGGACCUGUCUCUGUUGUAUUUCAACCAGAAUACUAAAAGCAAUAUACUGUUCCCCCAAAAAGGCAAACAUAUCCAGUAUCCUUUCACGUAGAUUAAGUCAAGGAAGUUUUUAAAGCAUGGUGUGGCUCAGUAAUUUAAGUUUAGCUGCAGACUGUACAGUAAACAUUUAAUUCUAUACAAGUGGUGUCAUACCUAGAGGGUUGUUUGGAUAGGAGGUCAUCUAGUAGGUUACCUGGUGAGUUGCUAAAGUUAGAGGAUAUGAGGAACAUAGGGCAUCCUCGAUGCAUAUGUGGACAAUGAGGAAUGCCACGGGUGUUUGUAACAGAAGAGGUAACAGAAGAGGUAAGCUACUUCUGCAGAUAAUAAAUAAGCUCAAUGGCUUUUGUAAUGGGGAAGCAAAGUGAUCUCAUAUAACCCAGGCUUUCUUGCUUCCACUGAUCUUCAUUCAGGAAAAGAAUCCGCUGUUCCUAUUUUUCUCUGACAAUCUAGAUGCUCUGACUCAUAUUCACAAUGUGGAUUUUAUUCAAGAAAGAGAUAACAUAGGGCAUGCAACACAGAACUGUUGCCCAGAAUUUGCGCUGAACAUCCCAGAAUGAAAGGAGAGGAAUGGAGGGGAGUCUGUAGGAAUAUGGUCAUACACCAGGGUGCAAGCCACUUCCACAGGAGAGGGAAUCUGUGAAAGAGCAUGCAGCAUUUUUAGGAACAUGAAGACAAAUGUACCUGAAAGAUGGGGUGGUUAAGGGAGAAAUAAGAGGAGAAAGAAAAAGA